rnacentral:rRNA from 1 species
GAUGAACGCUAGCUACAGGCUUAACACAUGCAAGUCGAGGGGCAGCACAGUGUAGCAAUACAUGGGUGGCGACCGGCGCACGGGUGCGUAACGCGUAUCCAACCUUCCCGAUACUCUUGGAUAGCCUUCCGAAAGGGAGAUUAAUACAAGAUGGUGUUUCAAUUCCGCAUGUUAUUGAAACUAAAGAUUUAUCGGUAUCGGAUGGGGAUGCGUGACAUUAGAUAGUAGGCGGGGUAACGGCCCACCUAGUCUACGAUGUCUAGGGGUUCUGAGAGGAAGGUCCCCCACACUGGAACUGAGAGACGGUCCAGACUCCUACGGGAGGCAGCAGUGAGGAAUAUUGGUCAAUGGUCGGAAGACUGAACCAGCCAAGUAGCGUGAAGGAUGAAGGUUCUAUGGAUUGUAAACUUCUUUUAUACGGGAAUAAAACCUCCCACGUGUGGGAGCUUGUAUGUACCGUAUGAAUAAGCAUCGGCUAACUCCGUGCCAGCAGCCGCCGUAACAC